CAGAGUUCAUGCCCUCACGGGUAGACCUCCCACCCUUGAUUAUUUACAAUUGUUGCUUUGGCGGGCCGCUUCGGCUACCGACUUCGGUUGGUAAGUGCCCGCCAGAGAACCCUAAACUCUGAAUUAGUGUCGUCUGAGUACUAUAUAAUAGUUA
rnacentral:misc_RNA from 1 species